AAUAUUGGACAAUGGGGGCAACCCUGAUCCAGCCAUGCCGCGUGUGUGAAGAAGGUCUUCGGAUUGUAAAGCACUUUAAGUUGGGAGGAAGCGCUUGAGGCUAAAACCCGAAAGUCUGGACGUUACCACCAGAAUACGCACCGGCUAACUCUGUGCCAGCAGCCGCGGUAAUACAGAGGGUGCAAGCGUGAAUCGGAAUUACUGGGCGUAAAGAGCGCGUAGGUGGUGCAGUAAGAUGGGUGUGAAAACCCCGGGCUUAACCUGGGAGCUGCUUUCAUAACUGCUGAGCUAGAGUACGGUAGAGGGUAGUGGAAUUUCCUGUGUAGCGGUGAAAUGCGUAGAUAUAGGAAGGAACACCAGUGGCGAAGGCGACUACCUGGACUGAUACUGACACUGAGGUGCGAAAGCGUGGGGAGCAAACA
rnacentral:rRNA from 1 species